AGUUUGAUCAUGGCUCAGAUUGAACGCUGGCGGCAUGCCUUACACAUGCAAGUCGAACGGCAGCACGGGAGCUUGCUCCUGGUGGCGAGUGGCGAACGGGUGAGUAAUACAUCGGAACGUACCCUGAAGUGGGGGAUAACGUAGCGAAAGUUACGCUAAUACCGCAUAUUCUGUGAGCAGGAAAGAGGGGGAUCGCAAGACCUCUUGCUUUAGGAGCGGCCGAUGUCGGAUUAGCUAGUUGGUGAGGUAAAGGCUCACCAAGGCGACGAUCCGUAGCGGGUCUGAGAGGAUGAUCCGCCACACUGGGACUGAGACACGGCCCAGACUCCUACGGGAGGCAGCAGGUGGGGUAAUUUUGGACAAUGGGCGCAAGCCUGAUCCAGCCAUGCCGCGUGAGUGAAGGAAGGCCGUUCGGGUUAGUAAAGCUUCUUUCGGUGGGGAAGAAAUUGCUUCGGUUAAUACCUGGAGUAGAUGACGGUACCCGCAUAAGAAGCACCGGCUAACUACGUG
rnacentral:rRNA from 1 species